GGGGCCAUAGCUCAGCUGGGAGAGCGCCUGCUUUGCACGCAGGAGGUCAGGAGUUCGAUCCUCCUUGGCYCCACCA
rnacentral:tRNA from 1 species